rnacentral:tRNA from 1 species
UAGUCUAGGAGGUAAGGACAUCAGCCUGAAAAGCUGAAGACGCGGGUUCGAUUCCCGC